CACGCCGUAAACGAUGAAUACUAGGUGUCGGGGAGCAUGGCUCUUCGGUGCCGUCGCAAACGCAGUAAGUAUUCCACCUGGGGAGUACGUUCGCAAGAAUGAAACUCAAAGGAAUUGACG
rnacentral:rRNA from 1 species